UACGUUCCCGGGCCUUGUACACACCGCCCGUCACACCACGAAAGUGGGCAACACCCGAAGCCGGUGGCCCAACCCUUUGGGAGGGAGCCGUCGAAGGUGGGGCUCGCGAUUGGGGUGAAGUCGUAACAAGGUACCC
rnacentral:rRNA from 1 species